UACCAGCUGGCUGCAACUGUUUAUUAAAAACACAGCACUGUGCAAACACGAAAGUGGACGUAUACGGUGUGACGCCUGCCCGGUGCCGGAAGGUUAAUUGAUGGGGUCAGCGCAAGCGAAGCUCCUGAUCGAAGCCCCGGUAAACGGCGGCCGUAACUAUAACGGUCCUAAGGUAGCGAAAUUCCUUGUCGGGUAAGUUCCGACCUGCACGAAUGGCGUAAUGAUGGCCAGGCUGUCUCCACCCGAGACUCAGUGAAAUUGAACUCGCUGUGAAGAUGCAGUGUACCCGCGGCAAGACGGAAAGACCCCGUGAACCUUUACUAUAGCUUGACACUGAACACUGGUCCUUGAUGUGUAGGAUAGGUGGGAGGCUUUGAAGUGUGGACGCCAGUCUGCAUGGAGCCAUCCUUGAAAUACCACCCUUUAAUGGCUGGUGUUCUAACGUAGACCCGUAAUCCGGGUUGCGGACAGUGUCUGGUGGGUAGUUUGACUGGGGCGGUCUCCUCCUAAAGAGUAACGGAGGAGCACGAAGGUUGGCUAAUCCUGGUCGGACAUCAGGAGGUUAGUGCAAUGGCAUAAGCCAGCUUGACUGCGAGCGUGACGGCGCGAGCAGGUGCGAAAGCAGGUCAUAGUGAUCCGGUGGUUCUGAAUGGAAGGGCCAUCGCUCAACGGAUAAAAGGUACUCCGGGGAUAACAGGCUGAUACCGCCCAAGAGUUCAUAUCGACGGCGGUGUUUGGCACCUCGAUGUCGGCUCAUCACAUCCUGGGGCUGAAGUAGGUCCCAAGGGUAUGGCUGUUCGCCAUUUAAAGUGGUACGCGAGCUGGGUUUAGAACGUCGUGAGACAGUUCGGUCCCUAUCUGCCGUGGGCGCUGGAGAACUGAGGGGGGCUGCUCCUAGUACGAGAGGACCGGAGUGGACGCAUCACUGGUGUUCGGGUUGUCAUGCCAAUGGCACUGCCCGGUAGCUAAAUGCGGAAGAGAUAAGUGCUGAAAGCAUCUAAGCACGAAACUUGCCCCGAGAUGAGUUCUCCCUGAGACUUAGAGUCUCCUGAAGGAACGUUGAAGACGACGACGUUGAUAGGCCGGGUGUGUAAGCGCAGCGAUGCGUUGAGCUAACCGGUACUAAUGAACCGUGAGGCUUAACCUUACAACGCCGAAG
rnacentral:rRNA from 1 species